rnacentral:rRNA from 1 species
UACGUAGGGUGCAAGCGUUAAUCGGAAUUACUGGGCGUAAAGCGUGCGCAGGCGGUUUUGUAAGUUUGUCGUGAAAUCCCCGGGCUCAACCUGGGAAUGGCGAUGAAGACUGCAAGGCUAGAAUCUGGCAGAGGGGGGUAGAAUUCCACGUGUAGCAGUGAAAUGCGUAGAGAUGUGGAGGAACACCGAUGGCGAAGGCAGCCCCCUGGGUCAAGAUUGGCGCUCAUGCACGAAAGCGUGGGGAGCAAACAGG